rnacentral:rRNA from 1 species
GAUGAACGCUGGCGGCGUGCCUAAUACAUGCAAGUCGAGCGAACGGACGAGAAGCUUGCUUCUCUGAUGUUAGCGGCGGACGGGUGAGUAACACGUGGAUAACCUACCUAUAAGACUGGGAUAACUUCGGGAAACCGGAGCUAAUACCGGAUAAUAUUUUGAACCGCAUGGUUCAAAAGUGAAAGACGGUCUUGCUGUCACUUAUAGAUGGAUCCGCGCUGCAUUAGCUAGUUGGUAAGGUAACGGCUUACCAAGGCAACGAUGCAUAGCCGACCUGAGAGGGUGAUCGGCCACACUGGAACUGAGACACGGUCCCGACUCCUAAGGGAGGCAGCAGUAGGGAAUCUUCCGCAAUGGGCGGAAGCCUGACGGAGCAACGCCGCGUGGGUGAUGAAGGUCUUCGGAUCGUAAAACUCUGUUAUUAGGGAAGAACAUAUGUGUAAGUAAAUGUGCACAUCUUGACGGUACCUAAUCAGAAAGCCACGGCUAACUACGUG